AUUGAACGCUGGCGGCAGGCCUAACACAUGCAAGUCGAACGGUAACAGGAAGCAGCUUGCUGCUUUGCUGACGAGUGGCGGACGGGUGAGUAAUGUCUGGGAAACUGCCCGAUGGAGGGGGAUAACUACUGGAAACGGUAGCUAAUACCGCAUAACGUCGCAAGACCAAAGAGGGGGACCUUAGGGCCUCUUGCCAUCGGAUGGGCCCAGAUGGGAUUAGCUAGUAGGUGGGGUAACGGCUCACCUAGGCGACGAUCCCUAGCUGGUCUGAGAGGAUGACCAGCCACACUGGAACUGAGACACGGUCCAGACUCCUACGGGAGGCAGCAGUGGUGAAUAUUGCACAAUGGGCGCAAGCCUGAUGCAGCCAUGCCGCGUGUAUGAAGAAGGCCUUCGGGUUGUAAAGUACUUUCAGCGGGGAGGAAGGGAGUAAAGUUAAUACCUUUGCUCAUUGACGUUACCCGCAGAAGAAGCACCGGCUAACUCCGUG
rnacentral:rRNA from 1 species